AUUGAACGCUGGCGGCAUGCCUUACACAUGCAAGUCGAACGGCAGCGGACCUUCGGGUGCCGGCGAGUGGCGAACGGGUGAGUAAUAUAUCGGAACGUACCUUUCAGUGGGGGAUAACGUAGCGAAAGUUACGCUAAUACCGCAUAUUCUGUGAGCAGGAAAGCAGGGGAUCGCAAGACCUUGCGCUGAUUGAGCGGCCGAUAUCAGAUUAGCUAGUUGGUGAGGUAAAGGCUCACCAAGGCGACGAUCUGUAGCGGGUCUGAGAGGAUGAUCCGCCACACUGGAACUGAGGCACGGUCCAGACUCCUACGGGAGGCAGCAGUGGGGAAUUUUGGACAAUGGGCGCAAGCCUGAUCCAGCCAUGCCGCGUGAGUGAAGAAGCCUGGUGUAAG
rnacentral:rRNA from 1 species